UACGUAGGGUCCGAGCGUUGUCCGGAAUUACUGGGCGUAAAGAGCUCGUAGGUGGUUUGUCGCGUUGUUCGUGAAAACUCACAGCUCAACUGUGGGCGUGCGGGCGAUACGGGCAGACUAGAGUACUGCAGGGGAGACUGGAAUUCCUGGUGUAGCGGUGGAAUGCGCAGAUAUCAGGAGGAACACCCGUGGCGAAGGCAGGUCUCUGGGCAGUAACUGACGCUGAGGAGCGAAAGCGUGGGGAGCGAACAGG
rnacentral:rRNA from 1 species